UACGUAGGGUGCGAGCGUUAAUCGGAAUUACUGGGCGUAAAGCGUGCGCAGGCGGUUAUGUAAGACAGGUGUGAAAUCCCCGGGCUUAACCUGGGAACUGCAUUUGUGACUGCAUAGCUAGAGUACGGUAGAGGGGGAUGGAAUUCCGCGUGUAGCAGUGAAAUGCGUAGAUAUGCGGAGGAACACCGAUGGCGAAGGCAAUCCCCCUGGACCUGUACUGACGCUCAUGCACGAAAGCGUGGGGA
rnacentral:rRNA from 1 species